rnacentral:misc_RNA from 1 species
AGGUCCAUUUACACUUGGUAACCUUGUGGUUUUAAAGGUGAUAGGUGACACUUAAUCUCCCAGAGGUUCCAUUAAAUUUAAGGGAUUCCCACCAGAGUUUGAAAAGUUUAUCUACAUAAUUUGGCAACAAGAUCUAUCAUUCUUUGUCCAAAGAUCGCAAAAAUACAUAUAGCUUUUAGGGAUUGAAUUUGAAUGUUCAAUUAAAUUUAAAGGUAAUAGUAACUAAAUGUCACAUUAACCUCAG